rnacentral:rRNA from 1 species
CCCUGCCCUAUGAUUAUUUAAAUGGCUGCAGUAUUCUGACUGUGCAAAGGUAGCAUAAUAAUUAGUUUUUUAAUUGAGGACUUGUAUGAAUGGGAAUAUGAGAAAUAUUUUUUAUUAAUUUUAUUUUUAAAAUUUAAUUUUUAAGUAAAAAAGCUUAAUUUAUUUUUCGGGGCGAGAAGACCCUAUAGAACUUAAAAUUUUUUAAAUAACAGUUCGUUUUGAUUAAUUAUUAAAUUUUAUUUAAGUUUUUUUUAUUGGGGUGAUGAAUAAAUAUAAACUUUAUUUUUUUAAUUCAUUUAUAAAUGUUUGAUUGAUCCAUAAAUUUGAUUUAAAGAUUAAGUUACCUUAGGGAUAACAGCGUAAUUUUAAUGGAAAGUUCUUAUUUAUAUUAUAGUUUGCGACCUCGAUGUUGAAUUAAGAUAAGAGUGGCGGGUAG